UGUCUGCUCUUUACCGUUUGUGCGCAACUACUUCUUUCCCGUGUGAGAACUCUUUCUCCAGUAUUUUGCAAGCUAAAAGCUAAAGCUAAUGCGCAAAGGACUAUGGGAGUGGGGUCAAAACGCUACUGAACACGGAACCUUUCCGGAUAUCAGCUCCAGGACUCAACAUCAUGGAGUAUACAGUGAAUUAUAGCGUGAUAAAGUUAUAAUUUUCACUAAAUUUUCAACUGCACACAAUUACCAGUGAACUGUGUGUAAAUCAUCAACUGCCUGUGUGUCAGCUGAUUUCUACACCAGCUUUACAUCCUGAGCAGAAGAUUGUCGUGGAGAGGACGGACCCUUGAUGCGCUGCCUUUUUGCACCAACAAUACAUACAUGUAUUUUAUUAAUUUGUAAAUAAAGUCUUUAAUAUAA